CUUUUGCUGGCGACCGGCGCACGGGUGAGUAACACGUAUCCAACCUGCCCUUUACUCGGGGAUAGCCUUUCGAGAGAAAGAUUAAUACCCGAUAGUAUAAUGAUUCCGCAUGGCUUCAUUAUUAAAGGAUUCCGGUAAAGGAUGGGGAUGCGUUCCAUUAGGUUGUUGGUGAGGUAACGGCUCACCAAGCCUUCGAUGGAUAGGGGUUCUGAGAGGAAGGUCCCCCACAUUGGAACUGAGACACGGUCCAA
rnacentral:rRNA from 1 species